UACGGAGGGUGCAAACGUUGCUCGGAAUCAUUGGGCGUAAAGCGCACGUAGGCGGCCAAUCAAGUCGGGUGUGAAAUCCCUCGGCUUAACCGAGGAAGUGCAUUCGAAACUGACUGGCUUGAAUACUCAAGAGGGUCUCGGAAUUCCCGGUGUAGAGGUGAAAUUCGUAGAUAUCGGGAGGAACACCAGUGGCGAAGGCGGAGACCUGGGGAGAUAUUGACGCUGAGGUGCGAAAGCGUGGGGAGCAAACAGG
rnacentral:rRNA from 1 species